CUUCCUUCAUAUUAUUGUCUUCAACUGAUCUGGAAGAAAAGAGACAGAGUUUGUCGUUUUAUACUUUUAUCUUCAAACAACUUUUAAAAACACCUUCAAACGCAGCCGACGUCAAUAGCUUUGUGUGUAUUUGUUAGAUCAGUAUUCAGUGGUGAUCUGUGAUAAAGGAUGAAUCUUCUGCUGUUCAGUCUGCUACUCGCCCCCCUCCGUGCCCUCUCUUCUCGGAGUGUUUCAUCAGGUACAUUUGAUGUUACCCAGUCUCCUGAUUUCUCUGUCUCGGAGGGGGAGACAGUAAACAUCGCCUGCUGCUGGACACUGGAGUUUGGAAGAUUCAGAGUUAACUGGAUGAAACAUGACACACAUUUUGGGUCUUUCAACAUGAAGAAUCUCUCUCAAGGAUCUCCACAAAAAGAGACAUCUAAGUGCUCAAACUUGACCUUAAUUAAUGUCACCAGAGAGGAUUCAGGGACAUACAUAUGCAAGGUGAUAGGGGAGAUACCAGUUUUUGCUUCUUUUAAAGGAAAUGGUACUGUCAUCACAGUUAUAGACAACACAAAGGUCAACACAACAAGAGGAUACUCAGUUCCUCUCUUCAGGGGAGAAGUGUUCAUUUAUGUCCUGAGGUGCCUGCCCCUCCUCGGCCUCAUCGUGACCUUCUUCAUCAUCAAUUCCAGGGCUAAAGCUCAGUGACGCACAUCAGCUGCUCCUGGAAAUGAACUCACUUCAGCCCAAAGAAGAGGAGAAAACCAGGAGGAAGAGUAAAGAGAUGUGAGGAAAAGGAAUCCACACAUAGUAAUGAUAUUUACACGAAAUCAACACGUGUCACCUUUAAUUAUUCGCUUACGUUUUUGGAUAAAAGGAGUUUGCUAACAUUGUGUUAAUCUGCACUUUGAGAUUCGUCUUGAUGCUUUUAUUUAGAAAAUGUGUGUGGUAGACUGCUUAUAUCUCCUUUGAUUGCCUCUGUGUCUAUAAUUGCAUGUCAUAAAAAAUUAUUAAAAAAAUG